GUCUAAGGUAUAGGCACUUUAUACUGUGGAAACUGCGAAUGGCUCAUUAAAUCAGUUAUCGUUUAUUUGAUAGUACCUUACUACAUGGAUACCUGUGGUAAUUCUAGAGCUAAUACAUGCUAAAAACCUCGACUUCGGAAGGGGUGUAUUUAUUAGAUAAAAAACCAAUGCCCUUCGGGGCUCCUUGGUGAUUCAUAAUAACUUAACGAAUCGCAUGGCCUUGCGCCGGCGAUGGUUCAUUCAAAUUUCUGCCCUAUCAACUUUCGAUGGUAGGAUAGUGGCCUACCAUGGUGGCAACGGGUAACGGGGAAUUAGGGUUCGAUUCCGGAGAGGGAGCCUGAGAAACGGCUACCACAUCCAAGGAAGGCAGCAGGCGCGCAAAUUACCCAAUCCCGACACGGGGAGGUAGUGACAAUAAAUACUGAUACGGGGCUCUUUUGGGUCUCGUAAUUGGAAUGAGUACAAUCUAAAUCCCUUAACGAGGAACAAUUGGAGGGCAAGUCUGGUGCCAGCAGCCGCGGUAAUUCCAGCUCCAAUAGCGUAUAUUAAAGUUGUUGCAGUUAAAAAGCUCGUAGUUGAACCUUGGGUCUGGCUGGCCGGUCCGCCUCACCGCGAGUACUGGUCCGGCUGGACCUUUCCUUCUGGGGAACCUCAUGGCCUUCACUGGCUGUGGGGGGAACCAGGACUUUUACUGUGAAAAAAUUAGAGUGUUCAAAGCAGGCCUUUGCUCGAAUACAUUAGCAUGGAAUAAUAGAAUAGGACGUGCGGUUCUAUUUUGUUGGUUUCUAGACCGCCGUAAUGAUUAAUAGGGAUAGUCGGGGGCGUCAGUAUUCAGCUGUCAGAGGUGAAAUUCUUGGAUUUGCUGAAGACUAACUACUGCGAAAGCAUUCGCCAAGGAUGUUUUCAUUUAUUCAGGGAACGGAAGUUAGGGGAUCGGAGACGAUCAGAUUACCGUCGUAGUCUGAUCAUAACUAUGGCCGACUAUGGAUCAGGGCGGUGUUUGCUAUGAUGUACCAAGCUCCGGCGCCUU
rnacentral:rRNA from 1 species